AAUAUGUGUGAAAACUUAAAUGAAUUACAUUUGGUCAGAUGUUUGAUCAAUUGGUAUAUUUCUUAUCAAGUUAUAUGAAACUUUGUGCAUAUUGCAUGCAUCAAAUGGCAUAACAACAACAACAAAAACAACGACAAGGAUAACAAACUUCUUCACUUGCAACAUUUUUUAUGACAAAGAAUGAAAUGAGAUGAAAUUAUUGACGGAAAAAAACGGAAAUCGCUGGCAAUAGUCAAAGGAAAUAAAAGCGAAAUUACUUUUGAUAAAGCAAGAGCAUCAACAACAACAACGAGAAGACGCAGAAGAAGAUGAGCAAGGACUUACACUAAAACUACACACACACACGCACACACUCGUAAAAAGGCAGCAGGAAGUUAACUACAAGAGGGCGUUGAUUUGUCACAACUAGAGAAUUAUGAGAGCCACGAUGCGUGGACUGAAGCAGCUGCCAACAGCCACAACAACAACAAUAGCAACAGCAGCAGGAGCAUCGAGCACAACAACAAACACUUCAAUUACCGGAAAACGUGUCUGAUAAUACCUCCCGAGAUUUCAGCCCAGCAGCUAAAAAAACUUAUACCCUGUAAAUGAAGACAGCUUGUAUAUGAGAAGUUCUAUUGGAAUAUAUAAAAGUCCGC